CUUCAGCGAGCCGAGCCAGAGCGGGCGGUCCUCUGCGCGUUCCGCGCCGUAGGUGCCGAUCAGGGCCUGGGCCUC
rnacentral:antisense_RNA from 1 species